rnacentral:lncRNA from 1 species
AUAGUACUUUGUAUAUUUGAGAGUCAGCGAGGAUGUCUUUAUCUGAAAUGGGGAAAUUAUACGAAAAGUCUAAUGGUGUGUCAGGAUCAAUCAAAUAUCUACAAAAAAAAUAAUAAUUGAAUUGCCAGCAUUUGAUUAAGGUCCCUUGGAUUAAGUAGGCAGGCCACGAUGCAGGUCAAUGAAGCAAUUAUAACAAUAUAAUCUC